CAAGUAAUUAAGUGCAUGUGGUGGAUGCCUUGGCAGUCAGAGGCGAUGAAAGACGUGAUAGCCUGCGAAAAGCUCCGGGGAGGCGGCAAAUAUCCUUUGAUCCGGAGAUGUCUGAAUGGGGGAACCCACCUACUUUAAGGUAGGUAUUGCAACAUGAAUACAUAGUGUUGCAAGGCGAACGAGGGGAAGUGAAACAUCUCAGUACCCUUAGGAAAAGAAAUCAAUUGAGAUUCCCUCAGUAGCGGCGAGCGAACGGGGAUCAGCCCAUUAAGUUAUGUGUGUUUUAGUGGAACGCUCUGGGAAGUGCGAACGUAGAGGGUGAUAUUCCCGUACACGAAAGGGCACACAUAAUGAUGACGAGUAGGGCGAGGCACGUGAAACCUUGUCUGAAUAUGGGGGGACCAUCCUCCAAGGCUAAAUACUCCUGACUGACCGAUAGUGAACCAGUACCGUGAGGGAAAGGCGAAAAGAACCCCUGUGAGGGGAGUGAAAUAGAUCCUGAAACCGCAUGCAUACAAGCAGUGGGAGCACCUUCGUGGUGUGACUGCGUACCUUUUGUAUAAUGGGUCAGCGACUUAUAUUCAGUAGCGAGGUUAACCGUAUAGGGGAGCCGUAGAGAAAUCGAGUCUUAAUAGGGCGUUUAGUUGCUGGGUAUAGACCCGAAACCAGGCGAUCUAUCCAUGAGCAGGUUGAAGGUUGGGUAACACUAACUGGAGGACCGAACCCACUGUCGUUGAAAAGCCAGGGGAUGACUUGUGGAUAGGGGUGAAAGGCUAAUCAAGCCUGGUGAUAGCUGGUUCUCCCCGAAAGCUAUUUAGGUAGCGCCUCGGACGAAUACCAUAGGGGGUAGAGCACUGUUUCGGCUAGGGGGUCAUCCCGACUUACCAAACCGAUGCAAACUCCGAAUACCUAUGAGUACUAUCCGGGAGACAGACUGCGGGUGCUAACGUCCGUAGUCAAGAGGAAAACAAUCCAGACCGCCAGCUAAGGCCCCAAAAUCAUAGUUAAGUGGGAAACGAUGUGGGAAGGCAUAGACAGCUAGGAGGUUGGCUUAGAAGCAGCCACCCUUUAAAGAAAGCGUAAUAGCUCACUAGUCGAGUCGGCCUGCGCGGAAGAUGUAACGGGGCUAAAACUAUGUGCCGAAGCUGCGGAUGUAUACUUUGUAUACGUGGUAGGGGAGCGUUCUGUAAGCCGAUGAAGGUGUGUUGAGAAGCAUGCUGGAGGUAUCAGAAGUGCGAAUGCUGACGUGAGUAACGACAAAACGGGUGAAAAACCCGUUCGCCGAAAGACCAAGGGUUCCAGUCCAACGUUAAUCGGGGCUGGGUGAGUCGACCCCUAAGGCGAGGCCGAAAGGCGUAGUCGAUGGGAAAAUGGUUAAUAUUCCAUUACUUCUGUGUAAUGCGAUGAGAGGACGGAGAAGGCUAAAUCAGCCUGGCGUUGGUUGUCCAGGUGAAAGGAUGUAGGCAUGUAUCUUAGGCAAAUCCGGGGUACUCUAUGCUGAGAUCUGAUAGCAAGCUGUACUUGUACAGCGAAGUGGUUGAUGCCAUGCUUCCAGGAAAAGUCUCUAAGCUUCAGUUACACAGGAAUCGUACCCGAAACCGACACAGGUGGUCAGGUCGAGUAGACCAAGGCGCUUGAGAGAACUCUGCUGAAGGAACUAGGCAAAAUGGUACCGUAACUUCGGGAGAAGGUACGCUGUUGUUGGUGAUGGAACUCGCUUCCUGAGCUGACGACAGCCGCAGAAACCAGGCCGCUGCAACUGUUUAUUAAAAACAUAGCACUCUGCAAACACGAAAGUGGACGUAUAGGGUGUGAUGCCUGCCCGGUGCUGGAAGGUUAAUUGAUGGGGUUAGCGUAAGCGAAGCUCUUGAUCGAAGCCCCAGUAAACGGCGGCCGUAACUAUAACGGUCCUAAGGUAGCGAAAUUCCUUGUCGGGUAAGUUCCGACCUGCACGAAUGGCAUAAUGAUGGCGGCGCUGUCUCCAGCAGAGGCUCAGUGAAAUCGAAAUCGCUGUGAAGAUGCAGUGUACCCGCGGCUAGACGGAAAGACCCCGUGAACCUUUACUGCAGCUUGACACUGAACUUUGACCUUACUUGUGUAGGAUAGGUGGGAGGCUUUGAAGCUGGAACGCUAGUUCCAGUGGAGCCGUCCUUGAAAUACCACCCUGGUAAUGUUGAGGUUCUAACUCUGUCCCGUGAUCCGGGACGAGGACCGUGUCUGGUGGGUAGUUUGACUGGGGCGGUCUCCUCCUAAAGAGUAACGGAGGAGUACGAAGGUGCGCUCAGCGUGGUCGGAAAUCACGCGUAGAGUAUAAAGGCAAAAGCGCGCUUAACUGCGAGACCCACAAGUCGAGCAGGUACGAAAGUAGGUCUUAGUGAUCCGGUGGUUCUGUAUGGAAGGGCCAUCGCUCAACGGAUAAAAGGUACUCUGGGGAUAACAGGCUGAUACCGCCCAAGAGUUCAUAUCGACGGCGGUGUUUGGCACCUCGAUGUCGGCUCAUCUCAUCCUGGGGCUGAAGCAGGUCCCAAGGGUAUGGCUGUUCGCCAUUUAAAGAGGUACGCGAGCUGGGUUUAGAACGUCGUGAGACAGUUCGGUCCCUAUCUACCGUGGGCGCUGGAAAUUUGAGAGGAUCUGCUCCUAGUACGAGAGGACCAGAGUGGACGAACCUCUGGUGUACCGGUUGUGACGCCAGUCGCAUCGCCGGGUAGCUAUGUUCGGAAGGGAUAACCGCUGAAAGCAUCUAAGCGGGAAGCCUACCUCAAGAUAAGAUUUCCCUAGGACUUUAUGUCCUCUAAAGAGCCGUUCGAGACUAGGACGUUGAUAGGUUGGAUGUGGAAGCAUAGUGAUAUGUGAAGCUGACCAAUACUAUUGCUCGUGAGGCUUGACUA
rnacentral:rRNA from 1 species